GUCUUUAACUUUUACACUUGCGAUGAAUGAUUUUCUUCCACAGGCACAGAACUGUCGGCACGCUGGCUUCGCUUCACUGAGGUUGUCUGGCUGAAAGACUGAGAAGCACAGACGGCAGAGGAGAGAGAGACAGAGAGAGGCUUCAAUCUGUGACCAGGCCUCAGGUCAUGUUCUGCUCUGACGAUGAGCUCUCUGCUCUCGUUUCUAUUUUCUCCUCUCCGUACACCUUUUUAUAAAAGUUUGAGACAGACUAUUACAGCACAGUUACAUAAUGAAGAAAUUAUAGUGAACAUUAGUGGACUUGAUUUGCACUCAUACAGCAGAGAUCCAGUUCUAUCAGACAAAUGCAGCACAAUCUCCGAAAAUGUACGUAAAUGUCAGAUGUUUUGCAGCGGGUUAACUGUUACUGUGUCUGCCCUCCCUUGAAGCAACAGGAAACAAACUGAGUUGAGAGUCUUAACUUGUUUCAGAGCAGUAAAGCAGGUUAUUCAUCAUCUGACUCAGACAUAAAGUACCACAGCUAUAGCCUAUAGCAUUAGCUAGAUCAUUAAGAGUGCCAUGGGAAGCAGCGUAAGUAGAGAAAAUCCAGACGCAAGAAACUCUUGCUAAGAGGCGCUACCACAGGUCACAAAGUGCCUCUGCAAAACUCUUACAGUAUUCACAUUUAUAUUUUGGAUACCUCUAAAGGAAAUGCAUCUGUUUGGAUGCCAGGUUGCACUGUUAAUGGUUCAGAUGUUCUGUCAGCUGCAUUUCUCUGCAGAGGGAUUCUUACUGGGUCAGAUGCAUGCAGUAUGCUCAUACACUACAUUUAAUAAUUGUGCGGACUGAUAAUACACAUGAUUAGUGCGUUGCUGAGUGUCAGUCCACCUCAUUGCAACAUUAUCUGCCAGUAGCUGUUGUUCACUCAAAAUUGUAACUACUCCUUUUUAGUUUGCCCCAUUGUCACAUCAAAUGUGUCCAAUGCUUUGUUACCAAAUACCUGCAAAACAAAGCAGCCUCAGCUUUACCUUAAAUUUAUAGCUUUUAGAAUUACUGUGCAAGGGUAAAAAUAGGAAGAUGCAAAUUAAGAUUGACACUGACAUAAGACAGAAACAUGUUAAUAUGUUUUCUUUUAUGUUUGGGACAACAGAUGCAAAUUAGUACUGCUAAAUCCGGCUUAUUCACUGCAACCUUGUCUGAAUUUAUGAGAUUGUAUGUUUAAUAUUAUUAUGCGCUGUCCCAUCCAAAGAAAGAAAGAAAGAAAGAAAGAAAGAAAGAAAGAAAGGAAAAAAUUAAAUAAUAAAUUUAGCAAAAAGAAUAUUGGAUAAUAAGAGGAAUUAGAUUGAGUUUAAAAGCCUCAAUACAACAUCUAAAACCACAAAUGUAUUUCAUUAAGGAGAGAUUAUAUGAAGCAGAUAGCAGAGAUUUAUUGCAGCAUGUGAACAUGUUAUAACGUGUUUUGGCGGUUAGACUCUGGUGAGAAAUUAUAUCAUAAUGUGCGGCGCCAGAUGAAGGUAGGACGUUAAGACAGGACAGGAAUCUACACUCAGUUACUAGUUAAAAUAGGUGCAUCUACUUAAGCUACAGAAGUACUAGGAUAAAUCCAGCCUUUUUGAAGGUCAUAAUAUUCAGUUGUUGUUAAAACUAUGCCCAUUACAGAAAGAUAUUUGAAAUAUUUUGCUGACCUCAUUUCUAAAAUAGGUCAUGGAGUUAAUGUCAGAAUUUCCCAGUGAAACCCACACUGUAUAAAUUUCUCUCUUUUUUACACAAUUUACAGUUUUUUUCUGACAUUUUUCCUCUUUUGUUAAAUUACAGAUCAUAAAUAAUAAAAUCACAGAAAAAGGAUAUUAAUUGCCGUGUUUGGAAACAGGACAAAAAUGUAAAUAAUUUGUUUUUAUACAGUGUUUGACCACAAAAUUAUACAAAUAUUUACAGUAUUUAGGUCGACAAAACAGUAUUAUUUUAGUUAUUUUCCAUUUAAAAAAAAUAGGAUUAAAAAUAAUUAAUUAAAUAAAAUAUACAUUUUUUAACUGUCUCAACUUCAAGCCUCUUCAUUUUUACAAAUGGUAAUUCACUCUUUUGAAACAACUGACCAGAAAGUGACACUAUUUUACUGUAUUUAAAUCCUCUACAAUAUAAUUAUUUUGAAGACACUGGCUGUCAUUUUCACUGUUCCAGCAUCAUUUUUCUUGCACUCCUUGCUGCCAGGUAUUUACUAUUGUUUUAUGGCAUUUUUUUUCUUUCCAGUGCAGUCACAGAGCCUUAAAUUGUCUGCAUUUCCCUCUCUGCAAAACUGGCCUCUCUCUCUCUCUCUUUCUGUCGUUUUUUUUCUUUCUCCUUCUGUCUGACUUUGACUGUUGCCAUGGAGACGCGGGCAGUAAUGCUCCCUGGGAUGCCUGAUCUUUGGGCAGUGAGGUCAUGUGGUGCACACGAGACACAAGCAGACGAGGAGAGUCAAGCAGACGGAGACAGGCAGGAUUUGGGGGCAGGCAGACAGUGGAGGAUGCCAGAGGAGUGUGUCACCUCCGACUGGGUCCAUAUAGAGCUACAUAUGGUUGCUGGAGGAAGAAAUGCUGCAGAAACAGAUCAAUACCAAACCCUCUCCUCAUGAAGAUAAAAGAAAGCAGGAGAGAGAAGCAGAUGAGAGGGAAAAGGGGGUUGAAGAGAGAAAGCAGCCAGCAAGAGCUGAACUCAACAGGGGAAGGAAAAUGGUGAAAUAUUCAUGAGAGAGAGACGGGAGACCAGAGAGGAAAGAGACAAAGAGUUGGACACGGUGCGGAUCUACAUGUGUGUGUAUGUGGAAAAAGCGGGUAUUAUCCUUAAUAAGAGGCCUCGCCUUUUAUCUGGAGCGCCUCUUAUAGCCUCCUGCUGAUUUCCAUAGACAAGAGCUUCUAUAUACAGAAGCACGCUUACAUCCAAAUACAGAUGAUGAGGGAAUAUAUAGCCUGGUGUAGUGAGUGUGUGUGUGUCUGUGAAGCUCAGUUUCGUGCCUUCGUGUCGAGGAUAGAAGAUAGACUGUAUAAAAAAAAUUAUUAUACUGUAUGGGAAAGAACAGAGCAGAAGGCCUGUUGAGACAAACCUUUGAAAAAGAUCUUACGUUAUACAACCUGUUUCUUUAAACACACAGUGAGAGGAUCUGAUGACUGGAGGUUGACUUUGCUUCAGUGUUAUCAGUGGCUGCCCUCUUCUGGCCUUUAGCUCACACUGUUGCACUGAUAAACACUGCUAAUGUUUGCUCCACACGACACCAAAGUAGUCAUUGGCUUUGAGGUGGACACAGAAAAAAUACUGCCUGUUUAGUAAAACUUUGAGGUAUCUGUACUUUACUUAAGUAUUUCCACACUUUAAAAAAAUGCUGUAACUCAGUGGUGAUAAUCUGGCAGCAAGUGUAUGAGAAAAAGUACUAAAACUAGUGAAAACAACAGCAAAUAUUUGUAAAAUAGUUAUGUUUUUAGGGGAUUUAAAGACAGUGAAAACAGUGUAGUCUUACGGUCAAAUGUAAAAAAAUUAAAAAAAAACCUUCAAACUAAUUAAAAAUAAUACAAUUUUUCAAUCCUUAAAAUAAAUAAUUUCUCUUUCAAAAGUUUGCAAACAAGUGUGAAAUAAUGACAUGUUUGGCUCAUUUAAAUACAGUAAGACUUGUGUCAUUUUAUGCUGAAAUGCUGUAAAAUUAUAUUUAGAAUUUUAUAUUAUAUUUGGAAUUAUUUUUGUAAAAUUACAGAUUUAAAUGUCAAUCUUCUCUACAGAUGUUUAACAAAUAACAUGCAAAAAAGUUUUUUUUAUAUUUGUGAUUUCACUAGGUGUUAUAUGUAAUUUUUUUAAAAAUGUGCAAAAUAACAGUAAAUUAUUCCCAAAAAAUAUUAGAUAAAUUAAAAGAUGGUGAUUUUUUUUACAGUGCAUUUAGUGCUACUUUAAUACAUUUCAGAGUGAAAUGUUGUAUUUUCUACUCCAUGAUAUUUUUCCGUCAGCUUUACUUUUAAGAUGGAGAUUUCAGACAAUAGUGAGCAUACCGAGCUAUUUACAAUUAAAAAACACAUUUAUAAAGUAAACUGGUGGCUUCAAAACAUUUUAACUUGAGUUGUCAACAGCUUCAGCAAACUGUAGUCUUCUCUUGGGCUUUAAGAAAUAUUUUAUGUUCUACAUCAUUUAGCAGAGGUUUUUCCAAUUAAGAAGUUCUAGAAUCACAAAUUUCCUGUCAUCCAUUUCCGUUUGUUUUCUCAAUUGCAAUUUAUUAUAUUACAGUAUAGUAUUGCUAUUGAUGCCAAGAAGACACAUGAUGAACUAUAGCACCACAUAUCAGAAAGUUGCUCCUUUGUGGGGAUGGCCUUGGAAUUUUAAAGAUUUAGAAAGGAUUUUUUUUGUUUAUUUAUUUCAUCUAUUUAUUUUUCCCUGGUUUGGUGGUAAUAAUUAAACUGUGCUGCCACAUAA